rnacentral:tRNA from 1 species
AACCGGGUAGCUCAGUCGGUAGAGCGUUAGGCUUUUAAUCUUACGGCCCAGGGUUCGAGCCCCUGCUCGGGCG